rnacentral:rRNA from 1 species
AGCGGCGGACGGGUGAGUAAUGCCUAUGACUCUGCCUGGUAGUGGGGGAUAACGUCCGGAAACGGGCGCUAAUACCGCAUACUCUCAGAUGAGCCUAGGUCGGAUUAGCUAGUUGGUGGGGUAAAGGCCUACCAAGGCGACGAUCCGUAACUGGUCUGAGAGGAUUAUCAGUCACAAGGGAACUGAGACAAGGUCCAGACUCCUACGGGAGGCAGCAGUGGGGAAUAUUGGAAAAUGGGCUAAAGCCUGAUACAGCCAUGCCGCGUGUGUGAAGAAGGUCUUCGGAGUGUAAAGAACUGUAAGUUGGGAGGCGGGACCAACAGAAUAAGCACAGGCUAACUUCGUGCCAGACGCCGAGGUAAUUC